rnacentral:rRNA from 1 species
UACGAAGGGGGCUAGCGUUGCUCGGAAUCACUGGGCGUAAAGCGCACGUAGGCGGCUUCUUAAGUCAGGGGUGAAAUCCUGGAGCUCAACUCCAGAACUGCCUUUGAUACUGAGGAGCUCGAGUCCGGGAGAGGUGAGUGGAACUCCGAGUGUAGAGGUGAAAUUCGUAGAUAUUCGCAAGAACACCAGUGGCGAAGGCGGCUUACUGGUCCGGUUCUGACGCUGAGGCGCGAAAGCGUGGGGAGCAAACAGG